UACGUAGGGUGCAAGCGUUAAUCGGAAUUACUGGGCGUAAAGCGUGCGCAGGCGGUUUUUUAAGUCAGAUGUGUAAUCCCCGAGCUCAACUUGGGAACUGCAUCUGAGACUGGAAGGCUAGAGUACUGGAGAGGGUGGUGGAAUUCCUCGUGUAGCGGUGAAAUGCGUAGAGAUGAGGAGGAACACCAGUGGCGAAGGCGGCCACCUGGACAGUAACUGACGCUGAGGCGCGAAAGUGUGGGUAGCAAACAGGAUUAGAUACCCCGGUAGU
rnacentral:rRNA from 1 species